GAAGUAAAAGUCGUAACAAGGUCUCCGUUGGUGAACCAGCGGAGGGAUCAUUACAGAGUUGCAAAACUCCCACAAACCAUCGCGAAUCUUACCCGUACGGUUGCCUCGGCGCUGGCGGUCCGGAAAGGCCCUCGGGCCCCCGGAUCCUCGGGUCUCCCGCUCGCGGGAGGCUGCCCGCCGGAGUGCCGAAACCAAACUCUUGAUAUUUUAUGUCUCUCUGAGUAAACUUUUAAAUAAGUCAAAACUUUCAACAACGGAUCUCUUGGUUCUGGCAUCGAUGAAGAACGCAGCGAAAUGCGAUAAGUAAUGUGAAUUGCAGAAUUCAGUGAAUCAUCGAAUCUUUGAACGCACAUUGCGCUCGCCAGUAUUCUGGCGAGCAUGCCUGUUCGAGCGUCAUUUCAACCAUCAAGCUCUGCUUGCGUUGGGGAUCCGCGUCUGACGCGGUCCCUCAAAAACAGUGGCGGGCUCGCUAGUCACACCGAGCGUAGUAACUCUACAUCGCUAUGGUCGUGCGGCGGGUUCUUGCCGUAAAACCCCCAAUUUCUAAGGUUGACCUCGGAUCAGGUAGGAAUACCCGCUGAAC
rnacentral:rRNA from 1 species